CUUUAUCUCUCUCUUUCACUUCUUCUGGCCCUCUUAUUCUCUCUCGUUCCCUUUUUCUUCAAGUGUUUCAGCCCUUUCGAUGAAUAUCGCUGGUACUCGAUUUCUAGGGUUUCUCUCAAGCCUGUAUUGGAGAAAUUUCGAUCGAGAUCUCUUGCAUUCCAAACCUUCUAGUUCCUUUCGAUCUCAGGCGCUGAAGGGUUAGCGUUUGUGUUUGAUCUAUGAUCGAUAUCGUGCUUGAGGUUUUUCUUGUCAUGGAAAUGGAGAAGGUUGUCACGGAGCCAAAAUGCUAGAAGAGGUGUUCAUCACUGAACGGUAGCAUAGAACAGUGCCUUUGCCUUAUUCUUGAAUUGUAACUAUAUUCAAACAACAUGCAAAAAGGUUGGCUGCUUUAAACAGCAGAUUGAUUGGCAUCAAAGUUGGAGACUUUUGCUAUGUUAAAGAAGGCCUUGUUCUUGGCCAACUCAUGGGAAACUGAUUCACAAUUACCUUGAGAGGUGUUGUGGCAGAAUCUCAGGAUAUUGUGAAAGCUGCAGCUGAUGGUUUGAGCUAGAAUGGGUUUAUCAACUAUUAUGGUUUACAGGUUGGGGAUAAAACAAAUUUUUACAAAAGGUUCUACAUAUUUUGUACAUUGUUGUGAUGUCUUAAAGUAACCCCUCUAUUUUAUUUCUUUUUAUUUUAAUGUUAUUAUUAUAUAUUUUUAUUUUUUAUUUUUUAUUUUUACAAAUGCAAUAAGCGUUUUGGAAGUGGUUCAGUGCCUAUUCACAUGAUUAGAGCAGCAUUGCUAAAAGGGGAAUGGUAGCACGCUGUGGAUUUGAUUCUUAACCCAAGAGAAGGAGAUAUCCUUAAACAAUUGAUAUGCUUUGAGCUUGGUUCUAGUUAUGGCUCUUAGACUAUUGUCAUUGGGUACUUCUUCUUAUUAGUUGUUCUCCUAUUUUUUUUUAAGUGUUUAGAUCAAACAACAUGCUUUUGUAAGGGAUACUUGUGAAUCCUACAAGGAAAAUGGUGAUAUUGAUAUAGCCCUGAGGCAGUUUCCUCACCAUCUUGUUGCUGAGAGAGCUGUUGUAAGCCUUCUCUCUCUCAUACACACACACGCACAAACGCAUGCACGCACGCACAUCAUGGUAAAGUGUGUUUUGAUAUACAUUUGUUCAUUACUUGCUUGACUAUCCAUCCUCUUCACUUGGAUAAUGUUUUUUUUUUGUUAUAUAGCAUCAAUAUCUGAAGAAAUGCCCUGGAAACUAUCUGUAGGCACUAAAAGCGAUACCUAGAACUCUUAGAAUGAUGUAUGUAAUUGCAUUAAGUUUGAGUUGCCCAUACUGCAUUGUGUUUUAUAUCUCACACUAAAGUCUCAUCUAUGACUUAUUUUCACUUAUUAGUUGCUUUAUAUCUUCAUGAACUCCAAAUAGUUGUCUUUUCAUUAGAAACAAUUGACAUGUAUUGUAGGUUUAUAAGUUUUCACCUACUAAUGCUCUUGCAAUUUCUGCCUAUCUGCUUUCUUCAAUGGACAGGGUAAUUGUAGUUUACUUUGGAAGACAGUUCUUUUAACUGUUAGGUGCUCUAUUGUAUGAAAUUGAACCACAAAAGGCAGUCACUUAUUGGUUGCUUUAUAUCUUCAUGAACUCCAAAUAUUAUACAGUGGUGCAAACUUGUGUUGUUGCAUGUUAUAGCAUUGCUUUGGGUGGUAUGAUAUAUAUAUAUAUAUAUAUUUUUUGGCUUUGGUUUUUUAGAGUGUUCAUGUACAAAUGAUGAUGAGGAAUAAGGUUAAUUUUUGCAGGUGGAUUUGGAUCUUAUUUACCAAGUUAUAGAUGAUACAUAAUAUGUAUCUCAAACAUCAUAUGUCAGAGUGUCUUAGAGACUCGUUGCUGGAUUCCUGAAUUUUGAAAUGGUUCAAAUCAACAGGCUGUGGUAGUUGAAAUUAAAAUAUCACAUGCCCAAAUGUAGCAGCACUUUCUUUUCUUGCUGAAAUCUAUCAAAAUUGAUGUGCUGCAAUUCAGUAGUCCAAAUUCAGGAAACUUAAUUCUUCUUGGCCAACCUUGCACUGUGGGCAAGGCUAGUGGUAUGAUGAAUGCUUGUUUUUAGAGUGUUGGUUGGGUGAGAUGGAAAGAUAGUCGAAGAAAGCAUGUGGGGAUUGGGAAUUGGCAUGGUUAAUGUAAGCACUGUAAGGGUUCAGAGAGAAUUGAAUGAAGAACUAGUAAAACAAAGAAGAGGAGAACACAAGGGAUGAGGGCAUUAGGGGAUAACAUUUCAACCGGCAUGUCUUCAAAAUGGAGAACAUUCUAUGAGUUUCUACAUUGAUUUGGUGUUCUUGCCCCUAAAAUACUGGAAAGAAAAUUGGAAAGACCAAGGUAUUCCUGAGAGCUUGUCAGAUGGAUGAAUUACAUGCAAGAAGAGCUGAAGUUCUUGGAAGAGUAGCCUUACUGGAGAGGAAAAAUAUUCUCUGAAGUUGAUAAAAAUGUUUUAGAAUGCUAUGAAUUCAAAGUCCAUCCUUUGUGUAAAAUCACAAUUAAAUCCUGAUGUCUACUUGCUCACUUUGUAAAGAUGUAUUCUUAAAUACAAGUUAUGAGUUUGUAUAUUUGAAGAUAUAAAUAUUAUUAAUUUUAA